CAGUCGCCGCGGGAAUACAGAGGGUGCGAGCGUUAAUCGGAUUUACUGGGCGUAAAGCGUGCGUAGGCGGCUUUUUAAGUCGGAUGUGAAAUCCCUGAGCUUAACUUAGGAAUUGCAUUCGAUACUGGGAAGCUAGAGUAUGGGAGAGGAUGGUAGAAUUCCAAGUGUAGCGGUGAAAUGCGUAGAGAUCUGGAGGAAUACCGAUGGCGAAGGCAGCCAUCUGGCCUAAUACUGACGCUGAGGUACGAAAGCAUGGGGAGCAAACAGGAUUAGAUACCCCCGUAGUCCCUGUCUUUAUACC
rnacentral:rRNA from 1 species